AAAGAUAAGAAAAUAUGUCAGUAAAUCAACUUUAGGUUCUCACAAUACAGUCGCACAACAAGUGGACGCAAAAAGGCUGGGCAAAGAUCUACAUUCGAGGGAGAGUCAUACACGGUGGAAAGAGAAAUAAAGACGGGAAGAAAUGGUGUGUAUUUCCACCAGAAGAUACAUCUUUCCCAGCCUUUUCCUAUCAGCAUCUGCCCCCUUUUACUUCAUCUCUUCCCACCAUCCAGGAACACAAACAAGUGAAGCAAUUGAACUUUUUCCAAUUUACUGUGCUGCAUUCAGUGUUCGAAAUGCAGUCUCCUCUACAUAGGAAAAACCAAGCAGAUUCGGUGACUGCUUUGCAGAACACCUCCAGUUGCCUGUCAGUUUACUUCGCUGUCCCACUCAGACCUCUGUGUCUUCUCUCUCCUCUAUUGCUCCAACAAUGCCCAAUGGAAGCUUGAAAAAGAGCCCUCAUCUUCUGCAGUGCUAUCCAGUGUAGGCUUGAGGAACAGCACUUCACCUUCUGACAAGGCACAUUUACAACCCCGAGUCUUAAUAUGCUUAAUCAUUUCAAGUAAACUUUUUUCAACAAACCUGGCCACUUCUUCCUACAUUAAUUUGUUAUGUUCAAAACUGAUACUGUAUCAUGUUGUUCCAACUACUGGUUUGUAGAGCAAAUGUUACCAUGACAACUUUAACUUUCAAGUUUAUUCAACCAAUCCUCCUAAAGAAUUUAACUUAAUUUCCCAGACCUCUCACAGAACUAGUUCUACCUGAACCCUCCAAUUAAACUCUUAAAAGAGCUGAACUUUUUCCCCUUACUGCAGUUAAAACGUUACCCACUCUUCAGUCCACAAAACCAACCCCACUUCACCCCCAUAGAGCUAAAGAAAUCCCUUCCCCUCUCCUUCAUUCAAGGUCCCCCUCCAACUCCGACCCUAAGGUAAUCCCUACCCCUCCUAUAAUAAACCUGACACCUCACACUGCGAAUCUGACCUCCGACCCCCCACCCUCUCCACAUUACCGGAUCUUCUUUUUCUUCGGCGUUCGUCGCCCCUCAUCUUCAGCAUCAAACAGCGACACGUCUUCCGCAUCAUCGCUAGACUCCUGCAAGCAGAGAGGCAGAGACGGGGGCUGGAUUAAAAAGGCGAAAACGGCGGCCGCAUUGCAGACAGCAAGGACCAGUAAUGGUUGAUUGCGUACUGUGUUUUGGCAAUGUUGGAAUUUAGGGGAACGUUACUGCCUGCCGACCGACCUACCAACUUAUUUUGUCUUAUUAUGUACCUUUAACGUGGAUCAACUGCCACCUGCUUGGGUUGAUUACAAAAUCCUGAGCGUGAAGAUGGUGAUGGGCAGCUGAAUGCAUCACACUUCCAGGAAUGGCAGGUGUGCAAUAGUCCUAUCCCCCCCCCCCCAUCCAUAUAUUAUUAAUUUUGGACUGCACUCCUGAGGUUUUAGAGUUUAUUUUAUGUAUAUAUUCUUUGUCGUGCUGCAAAACGUUGAGCUGCUAAACUGUGUCUCAUUGCUCCACAACAAUGACAAUAAAGAUAAUCUUAAUGUGUGUGAGAUAAAAUGGGCCACGGGAAUAAGAUUGUUCUGGGAACUAGUAGGACCUUGAAGGACUGAAUAGUCUAGUGUACGAAAACUUUAAAAAAAACUAUUGAGUUUUUCCCCAUAAGAUGCUAUUUGGUGAAAUACCGCCAGAGCUGUUGAACAAGUGUCACGAUAUAAUAUUGACAUUUAUUUGGGGAUGCAGCGCGGAAUAGGCCUUAUGACCUUCCGAGCCCAUACUAGAUAUAAGCGAUUCGAUCAGCGGUUUUCAUCAGAUGUUUUGAGUUCCUGCCGCAUUUCAAAGUCGUGCAUGUUGCUGAAUUAAUCGGUCAUUGAGCUGUAGAAUAUGAAGAGUUGAAGGAAGUAUGCAAAAAAAAGUUACAGAAAAGUUAAUAGGGGGAUGGGACUGCUUUAUAUUGUAAGACUCAAUGGGCUGAAAUAACCCCCUGGGUAAUUCGGAACUGUAGAAAUACUUUAGUGAUACAUGUUUAAAUUUGGAUGAAAAUGUUAAAAUACAUUUAAAGCUCAGGUUUUCUAUCUCAUAAAAGAUCUCCAAAUUACAAACUAUUUCAAAAAAAACAAAGUAUUUCCAAAACUUGGGUACAAUUCCUAUAAGCAAAAAACAUACCAACGAGAUGCAAAUGAACCGCAGAAAUCGAAGGCAGAGGAAAGGAUUCUAGUCACCCUAUUUUUCUGUCAUUCUUAGCAUUCCUUGACCCUUCCUAACAAGUCCGACUGCAAUCCUACUUCUAUACUUUUUUCCACUUGGGUGACUUUGCACACAGGAUAUUUGUUCAGGUAUCUUUUCACACAAUGUCUAAGCGACAGAGAUCCCAAAGACCUUUAAUUAAUGUUGUGAAUGCUGAUCUUUUGAGUACGCAAAUCUUCCAACUAUUGAUAGAUCAGCUAUUUUGUGUGUUUAACCAAUUUCCCCCGGGGUCAAUAAAGUAUGACUAUGACUGUGACUAGGUGAUAGCAUCGAUCUGGUCUGCAAGCUUCCUUGAACUAAAUACAGUAACUUAACCAGUAUUUGUCUGGUUUGACACAAGCCAGUUAAUAUAACCCCAUUGUGUUGCAGUACAUCUCUUGAGCAGCCAACACCAUGCUGUGGGUCAGGAGACUCUGCUCUAUACACAGUGUGGUUUCACUGCAAAGCUGUUCUUUUAACUUCAGACUAAUUACUGCUUGCAAUUUGCAGUAAGAACUGAAGAGUGGCUCCUGUUUACUACAAGAAGCUGAAUAAAGAAUAUUGGUGGGAAGUUUAACUUAAUUCAAAAACAACUCUUUGAUCUCUAGAAGUGUUGGCUGUUGUGUUAGAAAGCUGAGCUUGGCAAAACACUCCCACAGCCUUGGACAAUGCAUGUCCAUCUCACAGUGUUUUAAGUUUGUGUCAUCAUUCUUAAUGGUACAUUAAUUUGCUUUAUGGAAUGGAAUUAGUUUUCCUUGCCUAGCCUAGUCUUGAUGGCACAUAUAGUCAUGAGGUUGAGUCAAAACUACCCCAGCUAGUCCCUCAGUUCAAUGGCCAGUUAGUAAAGGGUGAUAAAUGUUGACCUCACCUCUGAUUAUCAUAUUCUGCAAAUGCAUUAAAAAACUACCUUCACGGUCUUUGGGGCCAUAGGGGCCCAUUAGGUACCUCCUUGCCCAAUAAAGUGGUACUGAGUGUACGUUUGUGGUCCUCUGCUUCUGUAGCCUAUCCACUUCAAGGUCUGGUGUGUGUGCAGAGACACUCUUCUGCAUGGUUAUUUGAGUUACUGUCAGCUUGUUACGUGGCCAAGUGGUUAAAGCGUUCAUCUAGUGAUCUGAAAGUCGCUAGUUUGAGCCUCAGCUGUGGCAGCGUGUUUGUGUCCUUGAGCAAGGCACUUAACCACACAUUGCUCUGGUGUCUGUGCGAGGAGUGGCGCCCCACACAGACUUCCAAUCUGCACCUGGUAAGGCAUGAAAAUGCCCAAUGCAGGCCUCUUAUGGUCUGAGUGGACAUUCCCUCCCUCCCCUCCCAGCUUGAACUAGUCUGACUAUUCUCCUCUGAUCUCUCUCAUUAACAAGGUGUUUUCACCCACAGAACUGCCCCCUCUGGAUUUUUUUUGUUUCUUGCACCAUUCUCUGUAAACUCUAAAGACUGCUGUGCGUGAAAAUCCCAGGAGAUCAGCAGUUUGUGAGAUACUGAAACCACCCCAUAUGCCACCAAUAAUCAUUCUACAAUCAAAAACCCUGAAAUCACAUUUCUCCCCCAUUCUGAACUUCAGUUAGUAACAACAACAAACAUACCUUUUGACAAACGUCUGCAUGCUUUUAUGUAUUGAGUUGUUGCCACAUGGCUGGCUGAUUAGAUAUUUGAAAUAACAAGCAGUUGUACUAAUAAAGUGCAAAUAUCACUGCAUGUAUAUUCCAUACUGGUCAUUGGACAAACACUUGGUAGUGGUUGGAAAUGCAAGGGUGGUUGAUCACAGAGAUUUACUUUAACCGUAUAAGACUGGUUUUUAAAUGCCAACAAAGAGACAAAGAUGGGUGGAGAGGGGGCUUAGAGGGUGUGUGAAGAAGAUGCAGGACCCGAGGAUCAGAGGUAGGGUGGGGGGGGGGAAGAGGGGAAAAAAAGAAAAGAGGGUGUUAGCUAAAAUUGGAAAGAUCAAUAUUCUUGCCAUUGAGUUGUGCCCAGGCAGAAUUUAAUGUGUUGCUCCUCUAGCUUCCUUUAGACUUCAUCCUGACAGUAGGAAAGGCCAAAAAUGGAUGGAUCAAGGUUGAAAUGGGGUGGGAGGGGUGGAGUUGAUGUGCUCUUCAACAAGGAACUCGGGAUGGCCAUUGCAAAUAUAAUUGCCAAGUCUACUCUUGGUCACGCCGAUUUAGAGGAAGCCACAUCAGGAACACCGAAUGCAGUAGACAAGGUUGGGGGAGAUACAUGUGAACCUCUGCCUCACCUGAAAGGGCUAUUUACAUCCCCGGGUGGUGGUGAGGGAGGAGGUGCAUGGGCAAGUGUUGCAUCCACUGUGAGGGCAGGGGAAAAAGAGAGUUGGUUGUAGCGGGAUGAACGGAAUAAGGAGUCAUGAAGGCAGUGGUCCUUGUGGAACAUGGAAAGGGGUGAGGAGGAGAUGAUUAGCUGCUGGCAGAAGUGACAAAGGAUGCUCUGCCAAAUAUGGAGGCCCAUAUGGGGAAAGGUACAGACUAGGGAACUCUGCCUGGGGUGAGAAGUUGGGAAGAUGCAAGAUCUGGCACCAACAACUACUGACACAAAAGUCAGAGUGGGAAUGGUUUAGGAAGAGAAGAGGUGAAGGGACAGUUGUUACGGUUCUAGCUGUAGAGUGGGAAAGUGCCAUGAAGAGUGGGAGAGAACAGGGAGAAUCAGAGCUAGUUGGUGGAAUCUUGUUGGUACUGGCAGAAACUGUAAAGACUUGUCUAUUGAAUGUGAUAUGGAAGGGGAAUUCUGUACUUGCUCUUUCCAGCAGUGGGUGGGAUUAUCAGCAUGUUUUUUUUUCAUGUUGGUCUAAGGAACGACAUACUGUUUAUAUUAUUUAGAAAUAUGUUGUUGACGGUUCAUUGGAAAAUACUGUACACAAAUAUAAUAAAUGGCAAUAAAUUUCAUACGAACCUGCUCUGCUUUCAAUAGCAUCAUAUGCUUCAUUCAAUGUAAACCUGUGGAUGAAUUGGGGAGCCACGCAAUUUAAGUAGAACUAUAAUUGAGAGAGAAUAUUAUUUUUUAAUGGAUUAAGGGAAAUGGUCUGGUUAAAAAGGAUGAGAAGGUUUUCUCGGUAUUUAGUUUCUCCAAUAUGAAAGGAAGAAAGUGCUGCUUAUUCUUGUUCUAGUUUAUGUCAAAAUAGUGGAAUAUUUGGAGACAGGACAAUCACAAUGCGGCUUAUUUCAUUAUGAUGGCAAUUCUGGGCACCACACUAUGGGGCUUGGAAGGAGUGUUAUGUUGAUUUACCAAGCUGUAUUAAUAAUUAAGAUUUAAGCAACAAUAUGCCGAAGGGACUCUGGGAUAUGCAACAUUUGUGGGAGGAAAGGAAUUGUUGAUGUUUUACGUCAAAACUCUGCAUCAGGACCUAUUUAAGAUUGUGCAAAUCACGUUGUAUCCUUUGAAAUAAAAAUGA